UGCACCACAGCGCUGGCCCCUAAAAUUGAAAUACUAUGGACAAGAUUAACAUGAUCCUUGUACAAGGUUGGCAUGUGUAUUUUUGAAACUUUGAAUAUUUUU
ensembl:snRNA U6 U6 spliceosomal RNA